GGACUUUCUCCCCUAACAUAGGUGCUGCCACAGUGGCCCUGGAGCCGCUUCUGUCUGUUACACCCCCGCGGCUGUAUUUUAGGGGAGAUCGUGUUUCCUUAGGCUGAUACUCAGGAAUAGAGGAUAUCCUGACACCUAAUGUCUGACAUAAUCUAUCCGGAUGAGAGAGAGCUAUCGGGCCACCACAUCUGCUUAGAUCCUUCAUCUCCAUGCGAUGACUGUCAUUUCUCACUGCAGCAACCAUGAUUUAGAGAGCUCCAACUAACUAACCAGAAAAACAAGGAGAGAGGAAAAAAGCAUGUGAACUACGAAGAAAUGGGAAGACAUGGGACACAAAACAGAUACUUUGAUGGAAGAAGAUGGGCAGAAGCUGCCAAAUAGGCACUAAAAAUAAGAAAGUAAUGAAUUAAAAGCAAAACUGGGG